UACGUAGGGGGCAAGCGUUGUCCGGAAUCAUUGGGCGUAAAGCGCGUGUAGGCGGCCCGGUAAGUCCGCUGUGAAAGUCGGGGGCUCAACCCUCGAAUGCCGGUGGAUACUGUCGGGCUAGAGUGCGGAAGAGGCGAGUGGAAUUCCUGGUGUAGCGGUGAAAUGCGCAGAUAUCAGGAGGAACACCGAUGGCGAAGGCAGGUCUCUGGGCCAUAACUGACGCUGAGAAGCGAAAGCAUGGGGAGCGAACAGG
rnacentral:rRNA from 1 species